rnacentral:rRNA from 1 species
CGAGUGAACAGGGAACAAGCUCAAAGUUGGAAUCUAUCUGGCUUAGCCAGAUCGAAUUGUAAACUUUAGAGUCGUUGUCCAGACCAGCCGAGUAAAUAAGUUCCUUGGAAUAGGACAUCAUGGAGGGUGAGAAUCCCGUCUUUGGCUUGAGCAUUGGUCUUUUGUGAUGCGACUUCAACGAGUCAGGUUGUUUGGGAAUGCAGCCUUAAUUGGGUGGUAAAUCUCACCUAAAGCUAAAUAUUGGCGAGAGACCGAUAGCGAACAAGUACCGUGAGGGAAAGAUGAAAAGAACUUUGAAAAGAGAGUUAAACAGUAUGUGAAAUUGCUAAAAGGGAACCGUUUGAAGUCAGUCUGGCUGGUCUGCAAUCAGCUUCAACUUUGGUUGGAGUGCACUUGUAGGCCAUUUUGCCUGCCAACAACAGUUUGUUCUGCAGCAAAAAGGUGUUGAGAAUGUAGCUUUCUCUUCGGAGGAAGUGUUAUAGCUCUUCGCGAAAUACUGUGGUUCAGACUGAGGCUUGCAGUGAAUGCUAUUUUGGCUUUGGGGAUGGAUUGCUCAGUGCUUUGCUUGGUUAGUUUCGGCCGUCAAACGUCGUGCUGGCUAAAUAAAGUCUGACUCGGUUCAUUCACUUUUAAUUC